GCGGGUGUAGUUCAAUGGUAGAACAUCAGCUUCCCAAGCUGAUCAUGCACCCCAUUACCUGAAAGCGGACACUCGGAAAUUGCACCCCGGCGUCCGCU
rnacentral:tRNA from 1 species